rnacentral:rRNA from 1 species
UACGUAGGGCGCAAGCGUUAUCCGGAAUUAUUGGGCGUAAAGAGCUCGUAGGCGGUUUGUCGCGUCUGCCGUGAAAGUCCGGGGCUCAACUCCGGAUCUGCGGUGGGUACGAGCAGACUAGAGUGAUGUAGGGGAGACUGGAAUUCCUGGUGUAGCGGUGAAAUGCGCAGAUAUCAGGAGGAACACCGAUGGCGAAGGCAGGUCUCUGGGCAUUAACUGACGCUGAGGAGCGAAAAGCAUGGGGGAGCGAACAGG